rnacentral:tRNA from 1 species
GUCGGGAUAGCUCAGUUGGUANAGCAGAGGACUGAAAAU